rnacentral:tRNA from 1 species
UUCUUUUUAGUUUAAUCUAGAAUAUCUGUCUUCCAAACAGAAGGUCCUUUUAGGAAAAGAAA